rnacentral:lncRNA from 1 species
GCUGAGCCCGCCCCAUCUCUGCCAGUAUUACUGCCUGCGAGGGCUUGGGUCUGUCUCCAGUGUAUUGUGGGUAAUAGUGUCCAUUCACUGGGUUGCUCUGGGAACUGAGUGCUUUAAUAUAUUUUUUUUCUCCUUUUUAGGGCUGCAUCCACGGCAUUUGGAAGUUUCCUGGCUAGGGGUCAAACGGGGACUGCUGCUGCUGGCCUACGCCACAGCCACAUCAACGCCAGAUCCGAGCCACGUCUGUGACCUACACCAAAGCUUGAAGCAAGGCCAGAUCCUUAACCUACUGGGCGAGGCCAGGGAUCGAACCCACAUCCUCACGGCGCUGCAUCCCUACCCCCCACGUUCCUCUGUCUUCUUGGAUCACGCUCCACACUGAAACCAGAGUUACCUUUCUAGAGCUGGAGCUGUUUAGAAUCUUCGAUGCCUUCCUACACCCAGUUUUUCAUCUGGAAUGCAAAGUCCUCCCUCCCUCAACUUGGGGCCACUUUCUGCCUCGUCUUCCCUACGAUUUUGUCCUCUAGGACCUUCCUUUGAUGAGCAUGACUUGGUCACCUUCUUAGCGCAUGUCCGAUGUCCACCAUAACGAUGUGUAAUUGACGUAACAGGAAUGGAGAGGCCAGUGUUGUGUUUCAUGUCUAUCCAAUUAACGUACUUUUGAAAGCGAGGAUACGUGUCAUUAGGAAACUGACUUGAGAAGGUGUGUGUGGCAUCUAAUAGCAUUUACUGUUUUGUUUUUAAUAGUGGGAGGUGAGUGGGACUAAUAAGAGGGUAACUUGCUAUAAAUCCCUGGGCAUCUUGGUGAACUGAGAGGGCAGUAGGGCAGGACUACCCUGACGGAAAGGAAGUGACUUCCCAACAUAUAUAAAGAGUCAGAUACAUGGAAUAGGUCGACUGAAAAUGAAUGAAGUACAAAGUUAGAGUGCCUUCUGAUUCUGGCUCCCUGCCCGUAAGGACACCUGCUUUUUCCCAGAUACCCCACAAACCUCCCUCCGACUCCCAUUGCUCCCAACUCUAAAAGUUUUGUGUCCUCUUCUCAUCCUCAGCACUGUCCCACCUGCCUGCAAUUUGUCAGCUGCCAAACUUCAGCACUGAUGGAAAGUAAUGAGGGAAUUAAGUCAUUUAUCACUUUAUCUUCUAUGUACCUAUAAAGUUAAAAAAAAAAAAAUGAAAAGAGCAAACUUACCAUUCCAUCUCAAUGACCCUAUCAUGGUCUUAAAGUCAGGAACAGGGCUGUUUCCUUCUGUCGUACUUGGGGUCUAGCCUAAUGACUGCUUAUAGUUGAGUAAGGUAUUUCGAAAGUCAUGUCACAUAGUUAUAAGUCACUGAGAUUGGGUCACUUAACAAAAAGGGUGUUUCGCAAAGAAAUUCAGCUGUUAAACACACAUUUAUUAAGUGUGUCUGCCAUAUGCUACACAUGGGUCCAAAGUGGUGAUAAGAUGGAGUGAAUUCUUACUUUAAUGCAACUUGGGUUUGGAUGGCAGAAAGACAUAGUCAACAAGCAAAUAAAUAGCUAAUUUCAUUUCAGAGAGUGAUAUAUAAAGCAGCAUAACAUUUAAAGCACCUGCUGUUGUGGUUGUUUCAGAAGCAUCUCUCGCAAACCAUCUGGGUUUCCGUGUCGUUUCCGUCGCCUCAUCAGUGAGUCGCCAUCUUGGUCUGGCCUUCGCAUCCGAAGGCUACCUGCCCCACCCCUGGUCUUCAUGACACCUGCAUCAUUCACCUUCUGUGAUUCCCUAGGAUCGAAACCUCCAAGAAAGAGGGAUCGUACACCAAACUAUCAAAUGCCCAUCGAGGACUGGCCCGUAAUGGUCAGGUGACAGAACCUCUGGGACAUGGCUGCCUGAGCAGACAGGAAAGUUGUUUGUGUGCAUAUGUCUGUCUUUAAAAAUAGUGAUAAUCAAUGUGGCCCAUCUUCUAUGCAACUAUUAAUGGAUAACUGACACGUGUUCGCCUGUGGCCUUCUCAAGGCUUCCCAUGUGCCCAAGAGUGGCUCUCAGCAAAACAUCAGCCAACAAUGACCACGCAGUUGCGAACCUGUUAUUUAUUAAGUCGUAUGAAUUUGCAAACCAAAGUUAGUUAUUUUAUCCACGAGGCUACUUACCGUAGCCCAUUUUUUUUCAUGGGAAAUCCUUGACUUUCUUCUCUUUCUCUUCAACAGACCCUUCCCUACCUGCCUGGGCAUAGUUCUCCAAACCCACUUCGUGGGGUCUGUUUUCAUCGCCUCGCUUGUUUAAUAGCCAGCAAGUUAUUAUUAUACUUUGUAAUAAUAUCUCUUAAAUGUACCUAGUGCUUCUUUUCAGGUGGCUUCUUGGAGCUCUAAGUACCUUGUGGCUUAUGAUGUACACCCACGCAUUGACAAAUAUGACACUUUAUCAAUUAUUCUUGCUAAUUACUCACCCCCACGUCCCACUUCUCCUAGUGAAACAUCGCCACUUGGCAAACAUCGUCCCAUGACUUGGAGAAGGAAUGUGUGUUUGGAACGCAGGGCCCUUAGGUUGGUGACUGGGCUGGCUGCCUCCUGCUUCUAAAGCAGGACUUGGAGGUCCUUUGUGAGGCCUCAAGUGAGAGGAACGCCGCUUCCACAGACCCUCAAAUCAUCACCAGAUCCUUUCUCUGCCAACCCUGCUGAGGUUUGACUUCAAACCAACUGUCAGUUUAUGUUUCGGGUAGUGGUUGGUGUUGUCUUUGUUUUGGGGGCUUUGGAGGUUUUUCCCCUGAAGGCAGGAGGGGGCACAGGGUCUUGCACGUUCCAUUUGUUUUGGCUCCUGUGUGCUGAGCUCACUGCUUCGCCUCCUUCCUGCGGGCUGGCAACACUGGUCAGAGGUGCUUUGGUUCUCUGCUCAAGCUCAGCCCUGGAUGGAAACCCACUCCCUCACGCACAGACUUCCCCACUUGACUAAGCCCCUCCUGCGUGUCACGUAAGAAAUUUGCUGCAGAUCCCUCUCCUGUAGACCCUGGCUAUUGCUUCAUACUCACUUUGGAAAUUCUUUUUCUUUUUUCUUUUUUUUUCUUUUUAAGGCUGCACCUGCAGCACAUGAAAGUUCCCAAGUUAGGGGUCAAAUGAGAGCUGCAGCUACAGGCCUAUGCCACAGCCACAGCAGUGCCAGAUCUGAGCUGCAUCUGCGACCUAUGCCACAGCUUGAGACAAUGCUGUGAGGUCAGAGAUCGAACCCACAUCUUCAUGGAUAUUCAUUGGGUUCUUUACCAUUGCGCCACCGUGGGAACCCCCCACGUUGCAAAUUCUGUGUGUUCUUUCCAUCUUUCAUCACAAUGUUUCUUAGUUACACAUGGCAGCUCUUGGUAUCUGCUAUGGUCUGAAUGUGUGUCGCCCCCACCCCCAGCCCCUGUGCCCCACCAGAUUCAGAUGUUGAGAUCCUAAUGUGCAAUGCUAUGACAUCUGAAGGUGGGGUCUCCGGACUAGCUUCGUGAAAUUAGCGUCCUUAUAAAAGAGAUCCCGCACCCCUUCCACCAUGAGGACAUGGCAGGGAGGUCCCGGCUUUGAACCAGGAAGAGGGCAGGGCCUUCAAGAGAACCUGACCAGGCUGGUGCCUUGAUCUAGGAAUCCCCAGCCUCCAGAACUGUGAGAAAUACGUAUUUGUUGCCCACCCCCUAAAGUCUGUGGCAUUUGUUUUAACAGCCUGAAUGGACCAAGGCAGCAUCUGAAACUAGCAACUAGAGAUUGAGUAGCCUCAGCGCUUUCACGUUUCAAGAUGGUUCUUUGACGAUGGGAAUCUGAGAGGCAGACUGGAUUUUUUUUCAGUGUCUCGUCCUUCAUCAAAGGAUCCUGUACCACCAGGCCCUGUAUCUCUAACACACGUCAUGUCGUUCCUGCUCACUGGAAUGGUACUUCCCGUUGCUUCUGCAAUGAACAUAUCAACAUGCAAAGAUAAUGCACAGAAGGCAGAACAAACUUGGAGUAGUUAAGGUUGCAUUUGAAAAUCCAGCUUUUUAUUCUGGAAACUACCGGCAGCAUAAAGAAAUGCCCGCAUACUAUAUCUUAUUUUUUUUAGGAAGCUCAAAGCUAGGAAGGUCACACUAUCUGGCUGAUUCUCAGCUCACCCCCGUACUUCCACAUGGCUGUACCUUUCCAGUUUUU